rnacentral:rRNA from 1 species
UUAUUCAGCCAUGCCACCCUGAAUAAGCCGGAUGUCUGAUCUUGGAAGCUAAGCAGGGUUGGGCCUGGUUAGUUCUUGGAUGGGAGACCAGGUACCGUAGGCA